AGAGGUCAUUUCUUGUACUUUCUGAUACUGUUAGAGAAGCGUUCAUCUACAAUCAGAGCAAGAAUUUUAAUUUUAUCUGCAUCUAUCUUCAAACAUCCUUAGAAUGGUCCACAAUUAUAAAGGAAUAACUUCGG